CGAUAAUCGAGCUGAACGAAAAGGAGGCUCGGUUGGACAACAAACCAGAGUGAUGUCCUACUGCUGCGUCCCCGAGUGCAAGUCCAACAAAAAGAAGGAAUCUUGCAAACAGAAAACAUUUCACCGUUUCCCUGUCAAUUCCGCAAUUCGUCGAGAAUGGGUUGUUAAAAUAAGGAGAGAUAUUGGGCCGCAUUUUAAGAUCACAAAUAACACGAGAGUGUGUUCCGAUCACUUUCCUGAAGAGUCCUUUACAAAGACGCUAUGUGGCAUCAGGAAACUGAAGGAGGGGGUUGUACCAACUCUUUUUACAUGGUCAUCGAUCAAGCAUGGCAGGCGGACAAUUGUUAGAACGGCAAGUCAUGUUGCCACUGCCACCUGUGGAGAGGAUGCACUGGGUGAAGAAUCAGAUGAGUCAGGACUGGGUGUGUGGGAGAGGAUAGAUCGAGGCGUGGAAGAAGACGCACCACAGGGUAAGAAGAUGGAUGAAUUACUGGCAGACCAUGACUACGCUUCGGUUCCGGAUCCCGCUGUUCUUGCACUCCAAGAAAAUGAAUCUCUCAAAGAAGAGGUCCUCCAUCUUAAGCAACGUGUCGAAGAACUCAUUAUGAAGCAACGGCUUGGCUUUCACCGUUUUGCUAGCUCAGACUGCCUACCUACUGGUCAGCAAAAUUGGUGACCUAUUGAAAACUGACCAGGAAGGGGGCACUGUUCUAUCGGCUUGCCAUAGGAAAUGUGAGCCCCAACCCUAACCCGAACAUUUUCUGAACAGUAGGCCCUAUGGCAAGUUAGAAUGUAUAAUGAUCAUCACCAGCAUCAUCAAGGUAUGAACAAUUUUGUAAGAAAAGUGAUUAAAAUAAGUUAAUAUUAUUGCUUCACAUACAAUCAUUUUUUAGCCCACAACCUAAAUUAGGCUACAUAUUCAGAAUUAGAAAAGGAUGUUGUGGAUUUGGGUUUCCUGAGGCUUAACACCUCUCGGACAUGCAGACAACUGUCUCUCUCCCCCACGUUCAAACCAUACGCACUUCCUCUAAUCAUCCUCUAGAGGGCGAGAAAAUAUCACAUUUUGUCACCUUUUGUACAAUCAA